rnacentral:rRNA from 1 species
CUGAGACACGGUCCAGACUCCUACGGGAGGCAGCAGUAGGGAAUAUUGCGCAAUGGGGGAAACCCUGACGCAGCAACGCCGCGUGGAGGAUGACACUUUUCGGAGCGUAAACUCCUUUUCUUAGGGAAGAAUUCUGACGGUACCUAAGGAAUAAGCACCGGCUAACUCCGUGCCAGCAGCCGCGGUAAUACGGAGGGUGCAAGCGUUACUCGGAAUCACUGGGCGUAAAGGGCGCGUAGGCGGAUUAUCAAGUCUCUUGUGAAAUCUAAUGGCUUAACCAUUAAACUGCUUGGGAAACUGAUAGUCUAGAGUGAGGGAGAGGCAGAUGGAAUUGGUGGUGUAGGGGUAAAAUCCGUAGAUAUCACCAAGAAUACCCAUUGCGAAGGCGAUCUGCUGGAACUCAACUGACGCUAAGGCGCGAAAGCGUGGGGAGCAAACAGGAUUAGAUACCCUGGUAGUCCACGCCCUAAACGAUGUACACUAGUUGUUGGGGUGCUAGUCAUCUCAGUAAUGCAGCUAACGCAUUAAGUGUACCGCCUGGGGAGUACGGUCGCAAGAUUAAAACUCAAAGGAAUAGACGGGGACCCGCACAAGCGGUGGAGCAUGUGGUUUAAUUCGACGAUACGCGAAGAACCUUACCUGGGCUUGAUAUCCUAAGAACCUUUUAGAGAUAAGAGGGUGCUAGCUUGCUAGAACUUAGAGACAGGUGCUGCACGGCUGUCGUCAGCUCGUGUCGUGAGAUGUUGGGUUAAGUCCCGCAACGAGCGCAACCCACGUAUUUAGUUGCUAACGGUUCGGCCGAGCACUCUAAAUAGACUGCCUUCGUAAGGAGGAGGAAGGUGUGGACGACGUCAAGUCAUCAUGGCCCUUAUGCCCAGGGCGACACACGUGCUACAAUGGCAUAUACAAUGAGACGCAAUACCGCGAGGUGGAGCAAAUCUAUAAAAUAUGUCCCAGUUCGGAUUGUUCUCUGCAACUCGAGAGCAUGAAGCCGGAAUCGCUAGUAAUCGUAGAUCAGCCAUGCUACGGUGAAUACGUUCCCGGGUCUUGUACUCACCGCCCGUCACACCAUGGGAGUUGAUUUCACUCGAAGCCGGAAUACUAAACUAGUUACCGUCCACAGUGGAAUCAGCGACUGGGGUGAAGUCGUAACAAGGUAACCGUAGGAGAACCUGCGGUUGGAUCACCUCCUUUCUA